UCAAGCUGGCAGCCUCCUACUCC
rnacentral:misc_RNA from 1 species